AGCACAAUGGUUAGGUGUUUGACUGCUAACCAAAAAGUCGGUGGUUCGAACCCACC
rnacentral:tRNA from 1 species